CCCGGGCGACUUGAGUGCAGAAGAGGACAGUGGAACUCCAUGUGUAGCGGUGGAAUGCGUAGAUAUAUGGAAGAACACCAGUGGCGAAGGCGGCUGUCUGGUCUGCAACUGACGCUGAGGCUCGAAAGCAUGGGUAGCGAACAGGAUUAGAUACCCUGGUAGUCCAUGCCGUAAACGAUGAGUGCUAGGUGUUGGAGGGUUUCCGCCCUUCAGUGCCGGAGCUAACGCAUUAAGCACUCCGCCUGGGGAGUACGACCGCAAGGUUGAAACUCAAAGGAAUUGACGGGGGCCCGCACAAGCGGUGGAGCAUGUGGUUUAAUUCGAAGCUACGCGAAGAACCUUACCAGGUCUUGACAUCUUGCGCUAACCUUAGAGAUAAGGCGUUCCCUUCGGGGACGCAAUGACAGGUGGUGCAUGGUCGUCGUCAGCUCGUGUCGUGAGAUGUUGGGUUAAGUCCCGCAACGAGCGCAACCCUUGUUACUAGUUGCCAGCAUUAAGUUGGGCACUCUAGUGAGACUGCCGGUGACAAACCGGAGGAAGGUGGGGACGACGUCAGAUCAUCAUGCCCCUUAUGACCUGGGCUACACACGUGCUACAAUGGACGGUACAACGAGUCGCAAGCUCGCGAGAGUAAGCUAAUCUCUUAAAGCCGUUCUCAGUUCGGACUGUAGGCUGCAACUCGCCUACACGAAGUCGGAAUCGCUAGUAAUCGCGGAUCAGCAUGCCGCGGUGAAUACGUUCCCGGGCCUUGUACACCCCCCCCCCUCACCACCCGGGAGUUUGUACCCCCCCAACUCGCGUGCCCACCCCUUACGGGGGGCCACCCCCACG
rnacentral:rRNA from 1 species